GUCCGGGUGUGGGAGGAGCCUGGGUGUGGGCGGGGCCAGGGUGCCAGAGGGGGACCUGGAGCGCAGAAGGUGAUGGCAGUCUUGUUUUCUGAUGUCCUUAGCAGAAUGACCGUUCAGUUAAUGUAUUGAACAUCUGCUCUAAAUACUGCCCCGCAUUAACCCUCCACCUCUCGUCUCGCAGCAACACCCGGGUGAGUUCUGCCGUGACUCCCACUUCACAGAUUAGGAAACGGGGGCUGGGGGAGUUACGGAGCCACAGACUGACAGCUCCCGGCGGCAGGAGCAGCCCCUGGGGGCGCCAGUGAGGAGGGCGGCGGCCUGCAGUGCCCCGUGAGCACGGAGGAGCGCAGGUGGGCCCUGUGCACGCCCCUGCGUUCCUUAUUGCUUCCCUGCAGCUGCGAGUCGUUCGCUCGCAAGCCUGAGGUUCUCAAUCUUAAAAUAGCCCCAGAUUUUUCGCUGCUUAGAGACUGCUUUCUCUACACUCCCCACAACACCUGACCCAACAGCAGCGCCCCUGCUGCGGGGCCUUAUGUGCCCAAGACGCUGAACAAGCCGGCCCGCUGGGCACGGCCCUGAACCGGCCAGCAGACUGACCGACCAGCAAAAGGGCGACAGUGGCUGCUUCAGAGCGGCCGGAGGGACCCAGCGGACACCUGUCCAGAAAGUCACCCUGGAGCCACCGUGCUGGCACAAAAGACCAGAAACCCUCGGCUGGAUGAAGGUCAGCGACAGUAUCCACGGGCAAGCUGCGCUCGGUCCCUGGGGGGCGAGCGAGUGACCCGCGCCCAGAGCAACGGGCACGCGCCUCCCGGAGCGGGCCUGAGGAAGACGCCAGACAGGAAACGCGCCCGGCAUAGCCGAGUUUCUGUGAGGGCCUCAGAGGCCCGGCCACCGACCGCAGCCGACCUAGACGGGACCCGGGGGCCUGCUGGACACCCUGCGGUUGUCUCAACCAGGGUCUGCCGGCUUCCGGGAGAAGAGCGCUGCCCAGGACAGCUGCCGCCCGCACUCAGCCGGGUGGGCGCCCAGGUCUGGUCCGCGGUGUCGACAGCAAGGCGGAGAACCCGUUCCCUCCAGGCCGCACCCGUGCGCCCGGCGCCCCUGGUCUUCACCCCCGUGGGCUCUUUCAUUCACCACGGCCAGGCCUGCAGGACACAGGCAGAUGCAGGCAAGACCCUGGAGCUGGCAGUGGUCGUCGGUGAUGUCGGAGCAGCCUUUGACCCAGAGCGUGAACACUACGGUGGUCCCUAGAGGCGGGGGCACCUGAGCGCCUCGGCCCAGCAAGCAGCACCAGCACCCAGUCAGCUGCACGGCCAGGGCCGCGGGGCUCGGAACUUGCCUGCCUCUCCAGGUCAGCCAUCAGGGGAUGACAGACAGGUGCGGCCGACCCAGGGUAGACAGGCAGGCACCCCUGCCUCACCCAGGAGGACCAGGCCUGGGUCCUCCUCCUCCAGGCCGGGCCCAGACCCCACUCCUCUCUGGAGCGGAGUGCUGCCUGCCUCAGUUUCCGCUGAGCAGAGGCAAAAGCAGCCAGAAGGGACGCGGUAACCGCGUGCAGACAGAGCAAGAGCGAGGGCCGGAGCAGAAGGAGGAGAGCGCCAGCCCGGGGGGAGAGCACCAGAACCUGGCAGGGCGGCUCCUGCCCUCAGCCGCCAGGCAGGGCACUGAGGCUGGGCUAGUGUGUUAGGAAGACACCGGACCAAGGCUGUGGGAUAGCGAGUAAAGCUGCCGCCUGCAGUGCCAUAUGGGUGCCAGCUCAAGAACCAGCUGCUCCACUUCUCAUGCAGCUCUCUGCUAUGGCUGGGAAAGCAGUACAAGAUGGUCCAAGUCCCUGGGCCCCUGCAUCCCCAUGGGAAACAACAACAACAAAAAAAAAGUGCCUGGCUCCUGGCUUCGGAUCAGCUCAGCUCCAGCCAGGGCGGCCAAUUGGAGAGCGAACCAGUGAGUGGAAGACAUCUCUCUCUCUCUCUCUCUCUCUCUCUUUCCUUUCUCUGUGUAACUCUGCCUUUCAGAUAAAUAAAUAAAUAUUUUCUAAAGGAAGAAGUGGACCU
rnacentral:lncRNA from 1 species